UGCGUAGGUGGUCGGGUAAGUCUGAUGUGAAAUCUCCGAGCUCAACUCGGAAAUGGCAUUGGAUACUAUUCGGCUGGAGGGUUGGAGGGGGGACUGGAAUUCUCGGUGUAGCAGUGAAAUGCGUAGAUAUCGAGAGGAACACCAGUGGCGAAGGCGAGUCCCUGGACAACCCCUGACACUGAGGCACGAAAGCUGGGAGCAAACA
rnacentral:rRNA from 1 species